CCGAAAGGCGUAGUCGAUGGGAAUGAGGUGAAUAUUCCUCAGCCAGUUGGUAGUGACGGAUCGCGUACGCUGUCGGGUCUUAUUGGAUUGACCCGGCUUCCAAGCGGUUCCAGGAAAUAGCUCCAACAUGAGACCGUACCCGAAACCGACACAGGUGGACUGGUAGAGUAUACCAAGGCGCUUGAGAGAACUAUACUGAAGGAACUCGGCAAAUUGCACGCGUAACUUCGGGAUAAGCGUGACCUCUAUAUAGGCAACUGUAUAGGGGUGUCACAAAAGAGGGGGUGGCGACUGUUUAUCAAAAACACAGGGCUCUGCGAAGUUGCAAAACGACGUAUAGGGUCUGACGCCUGCCCGGUGCCGGAAGGGUAAAAGGAGGUGUGCAAGCACCGAAUUGAAGCCCCGGUAAACGGCGGCCGU
rnacentral:rRNA from 1 species